CUAGACCUAUACAAUAUAGAUCCCUAGACUAGAGCUGACAGUCGCUGGAACACAGAGGAGAUCCUCCCCCCCUGAUUUUUUUGAUCUUCUUCGAACCCCACCACCCCUGAAAUGAGCAACCCUAGAAUUUCUUCGCCUCCAUUCUCACACCUUCAGAGAACGACCGACCAUCCCCUGAACCAAGAGUAAACCAGCGACCACCUUCCUCAGCAGAACCCUUCAUACACCCUUAGUCAUCUGGUCAUAAUAGUUUAGUUAAAAAUGUGAAAAUUAGGCAUCAUUUUUUAUGCCUUGUAAGAGAAUUGAAUCUUAAAGUUCCAUUCGCAUCUGCUGCCUAAAGGAGGUAAUUGUUUCCUCAUGAGAAUCUGACACGCCGAUCAACUGCUACAUUGCCUUUUAUUGUAACAACUUCUGGGUAUCGACGUACAAAAACUCUCUGCCAUCCCAAAACCAUUUUCCAAGUCGAGUAGAUUUUGAGGUCGUCGACAAGAUUUGAGUCUUUCCGGCGAAGUUCGGUCAGUUUGUCGCUAGUCAAGGCUCCGUUCGAGUCCUUGCCUAUUAGUCGAUAUUCAAGGCAGUCUUGUGAAGUUUUCCGUUCAUUAAUUUUGAAAGAAGCAGUCAAGCAAUUGUAAAGGUUCAUUCUCUUCUACUCUUAAACAAAUUGCGUAAUUUCGAUUAGCCUUAACAGUGUUUCAUUGAGUUAUCUGUUAAUUGUGUUAAUCUGAGGUGAUGGAAAUCAUGUUGGAACUAUUAAUUUAGAUAUUUUAUUGGCUUUAAGUUGUUGAUCAUGAAUGAAGACUCUAAUUAAAAUGUUUUAAAUGUCGACGAGCCAGAGUUCACGUUUGGUUUGCUAUUUUCAUAUUAUAUCUGCAUCUCUUAAUUUAUUUCUAUUUUGUCUCUUUUUUCCAUAAUGAAUUUUUUUAAUUGAACCUUGUUGCAUUUCUUGAUUAAUUGGUAUGGAAUUUGAUCGUCUUGGUGAGAUACGAACUCUAGACAUAUUAAGGUCAAGAUUUCAAUCUCUGCCUGGUGCAUUCAACUCUUACUUGGUGCCUUCUGACAAAACUGACAAAAAGAGAUUUUCCCUCUCCAAGAUUUUUAAUGAGGUUUCACCCAGUAAGAGAAGUGAAGCUGCAAAAUUCGCUCAGCUAUGGAAUGAAUUUAUAUGCAGUUUCUGUGAAGAAGAUCUUAUAAGUGAUAGGGAGAUGGACCUAUUACUUGUUCCUUAUUCCUCGGACCCCAGUCUGAAAGUAUUCAAUGGCCACCCUUUUUGCUUGCUAGCAAGAUCCCAAUUGCAUUGGACAUGGCUUCACAAUUUCGUUCUAGAGAUGCUAACCUUUGGAAGCAUAUAUGUGCAGAUGAAUACAUGAAGUGUGCUGUCAUUGAAUGUUAUGAAUCUUUUAAACUUGUUCUUAAUGCCCUGGUUAUUGGAGAAACUGAGAAAAGGAUCAUAGGAAUCAUCAUAAAAGAAGUUGAAAACAACAUUUCAAAGAGCAGAUUCUUUGCGAAUUUCAGAACAGAUCCUUUGCAAAACCUUUGCAAGAAAUUUGUUGACCUACUUGAGAUACUGAGAGAUGGAGAUCCAUCUAAAAGGAAAAACAUUAUCAUAGCUACGGGUACGGUUCCCGUGACGUAGUUAUGAUCCUAAUUCCCAACCCGGGUGUGCAUUUCAUGUGACCCAACUUUAAUUCCCAACAAGGUUAAAUAGAACGUGUCGUGAACCACAGGUGCAUUUCAUGUAGCGUGGUUUACGAUGUGUUUUAAAUAACCUUAAAUUUUCCCGAAAUAUUAAAAGCGGAUAUAAAAUUAAAAAUACAUAAUAGGUUUAAAACCUGUAAAAAAUCAGAUAAAUAGGCCAAUAAUAAUAGUUGAGCGACCGUGCUAAAACCAUGGAACUCGGGAGUGCCUAACACCUUCUCUCGGGUUAACAGAAUUCCUUACCCGGGUUUCUGUGUUUCGCGGACUGUAAAAUCGAGUCAAUCUUUCCUCGAUUCGGGAUUUAAAACCGGUGACUUGGGAUACCAUAAAUUAUCCCAAGUGGCGACUCUGAAUUUAAUUUAAAUAAUCUCGUUUCGAUUGUCACUUAAAUUAGAAAAAACUCCCUUAUACCCCUUUUAGGGUGGAAAAAAGAGGUGUGACAGCUCUGGCGACUCUGCUGAGGACAAGAACCCAGAACCUUUGGUUCAAGGUUCAGAAUUCGAGCUUAAAAUAACUGUUAUAGUUGGAUUUUAUUUAUUUUCUGAUUUUUAUAUGUUUGAGCCUAAUGUGCUAAUUGUCGCUUUUUACCACUUUGAUAUUGUUGGACUGUAUAUAAAUUGUUACAAAACCCUCCUCUCUCUGAGUCUUCUAAAUCAUCUGGAAAGUGUGCACUUCGUGUGACUUCUCUUCUGUUAGAGUCAUACUCCAAUUUUAGAACGAGGUUCAGACAAGUUGCAAAGCCAGUGAAGCUUCUGUAUUCCCGGUACGCUGCCCCCCUCGGCUCGAGCUGUCGGCUCGGGUAAGCCAGGUCUAAAACAUAUAAACCCAGGUUUUUAAACGUAGAAUAACAUAGCCUCAUGCCGGAUCCCUAGUAGGAACGCUUGUUUGCAUCCCGUGCAUCUGACUAUGAGGACUCAACACAGGGGUUGGGUCCGUCUAGGACAGGUGCACCCAAAAUAACAGACCAUCUUGAUGCAUCUUAUGUGCUAUAUGUUGCAUUUCUUCAAGGGUAAAAGGGUCAUUUGGCGGACUAAUGAUAGUUGAGGGCAAAAAAAAAAGAGAAAGAAAAGAGGGUGAAGUAUGAAAAUAAAGCAAGUAGGGCUAAGUUAUGUUUUUCUUUUACAUUUUUUUUAAGAAAAAGACAAAAAGAUGAACAUGAAAAAAAAUCCAAAAAGAUUUUGUAUUUUCCCUUUAUUUUUUUUUAAAAAAGACAAAAAUAUGUUUUCUCUUAAUUAGUUGUUUUUUUUAUUAUUUCUCAACCGUAUCCAAUCUGCCUGAACUACGCAUACCUGAUUCUCGUCUUUUGGGGCGUGAUACGUAGUCAACCCACAUAGGAUUCGGUCUUCCUAGUAAGUCUUAGGUUCUUGGCUUCGCGGGGUCUUAGCCAAAUCUUGCAUUUUUAGCCACUUUUUGCCACAUAUGUUAAUUUUAGAAAAUAAUCACAAUCAUGUCUUGCAUGUGUCCAACAGGAAGGAUUAUUGUCUCACAUAGAGUUCUAGGUCUUUAACUUUAUUUGGUCUUAAUUGUUUUCCAUACAGGUAUGGAUCUACUCACUGGAGUUUCACCAUGAAAGAGCCCCAGGACCAUCUAGUCAGCAUCGCUUAUUCAGGAGUGGAUUAAAAGGAGAUUUUCUUUUCUUUUUUAUUUUUUGAAUCUGUUUUUCUUUUUAUGUAGUCUUUUACCUUCUAGUUUUGUACAGUAAUGUCGAAUCUUUUAGGUGAUGUUAGAGUUUGUCAUAGUCUAGUUAAUUUUGCCGAGUCUGUUGUUAUUGUAUUUCUCAUUUUGUACUUGGAAAUGUGUUACAAGUCAAAAUCCAAAAAAAAGAAAAAAAAAGAGAAAUUUUGCGUUUUUAUAUUUCCCUUGGAAGUUUUCUUUAGAAUACUAAUUCUAGGAAUUAAAAAAAAAAUUCAUUUGAGGGAAUUUUUCCUUUAGGAAAUUAAUAUCUAGAUCUUAAAAUAAAAAUUGCUUUUAUAUUUCCUUUCGUAUAUUAAGACUAAAAAUUCAAAACAAAAAAAGAAAAAAAAAGAGAAUUUUCUUUUAGUACCUCUUUAAAGGUUUUCUUUGAGAUAUUAAUUCCAAAAUCCAAAAAGAUUUUCUUUUGAUGUUUUUCUUUGGGAAAUUAAUGAAAAAUGAAUAAAACAAAAAAUCCUUUUAUUUUCACUAGAAUUUUAAGAUAUUGUACAUAGGAAGAAAAAAAAUAUACUUUAUCUUUUGUUUAUAUAUAAGUUUUCUUCCUUAGGUAAUCAAAAACUUAAAUCCAAUUUUUUUUUUAUCUUGUUCACUUCUCGUUUCGAAAUCUUUCUUCAGGGACAUCAAAUGAAAAUUCAAAAACUUUUCUUUUCUUUGGUUUAUUCUUUAGAUUUCCUUCUUAAAAAAAAUAAAAAAAGUAUUUUUCUCUUGUAGGGUUUUUUCCUUAAUAGUUUCCCAUAGAGUGUUCGUUUCAAAAAGGAAAGAAGGGGAAAAAAAAGUUCGUUAAGCUUGAGUUUAGAAUAAGUUAUAGAAUAUUAAGUCUACAAAAUUCAAAAAAAAGGGAUUGCUUCUUUUAUUUCUCUUUUCUCAUGAGAGUAGUCAUUAAGGUAAAAAAAAGAAGAAAAAGAGAAUGUUAGUUUGUUUAGUCUAUUCUCGAUUUUCCCAAACUAUACAAAGAUCUGAUUUAUGCGGCGUCAUGAUACGUAGGCAACCUACGUAGGGUUCGAUCGAAUCAUUUUUUUAUUAUUAAAAGAAAAGGAAAGAAAAAGAAAAAAAAAGAGAAAAAAGGAAAAAAGGAGAUGAAAUUAUGGGAUGUGAGAAGGAGAGAAAAGAAAAGAGUGAUAAUUAGGAAAAGAGGAAGGGAAAUGAGCAAGCCAAGAAGUGCUAGAAAAGAAAAGAAAGAGAGGAUUGAAAUGAAUAAAUUGGGAUGAUGCCAUAUGAAUUUCAUACCCUCGAAGUCAUGUUAGAACGGAUAACUGUGACUAAGUGCAUUGCUCAUAAUGUGAGAUUAUCUUAUGUUAAAUGACCUAACGCUAACGUGAUAACUUCAUUUUGUUCCUCUUGUUAUCUUCAUUGUAGCAGAAGGGUGGUUGGUUUGUGGUUCUUAAAGUGGUAACUCUUCUCUACAACAUAAAGUUGAAAGGCAAUGGCAGACGGCAACAGAAUUUAGUUGGUUGGUACUGGUGCCCAAAAGCAAUUGGUUGAACAGGGCAAUGAGUUGGUUGAAGAGGUAAGGAUGUUAAGACAACACAUUGCGGACAUGUAUCAGGCUUGGAUGACUGGGAAGGCAUCACCCCCACCACCACCUAGCUUCUUAGAUGCUACCCUUACCCAAACUCCGGCCAUAGUGUCAGAUGAUCCUCCAUACUCUCCAGAUCCACCCGCUUAUCACAGCUUUCCCAACUACCCUAGUAGCUCCAUCACUCAUCCUCCAAUUACCUCUCCCCAAAAUUGCCCUCCUGUCAUAUCCACUAUCCCCAUGAUCACAACUUCUCAACAAUCUUCCCUUCAUAGAUCUGACAAUGAACAUCCACUCAAAGCCCAUGAUGCCCAAUAUUACCCCUCAGAGGUUGUCCACAAGGUUCCUGACUCAUACAAUCAGAGUCUUCGGAAUGAGCCUUAUGUUGAAAAUGAAAAUUUUACAGGAAAAGAAGGGUAAGNNNNNNNNNNNNNNNNNNNNNNNNNGCAGUGAAAUGAGAAGUGUUGGCAGGAAAGAUAAUUUGUUGAUGGCGUAUUUCAGUGAGAGCUUGACUAGGGCAACCUUGGAAUGGUAUACUCUUCAAGAUGUCAAUAAGUGGCAUGCAUGGGAUGACGUGACUCAAGAUUUUGUUCGACACUUUCAGUACAAUCUAGACAUUAUCCCGGACCGCUCUUUCCUAUCCAAGAUGGAAAAGAAACUGGAAGAAAGCUUUAGGGAGUUUAGGCUCAGAUGGAGGGAACAGACUGCUCGAGUAGUCCCCCGAUUGGUGAAGAAGAAAUGGUUGAGCUUUUCCUACAAUCCCAGGGGCCCACCUACUUCAGUCAUUUGAUCCCGGCCUUGGGUAAACCUUUCAUUGAUGUGGUAAAAAUGGGGGAGAUGGUAGAAGAAGGAAUCAACUCAGGCAAAAUCAUGAGUUAUUCUGCAUUGAAAGACACUACAAAAGACAUUCAAAACAUCUCAGUAAGUUUGGAUGGAAGAAAGAGAAAUAGAAAAGAUGUUGUUGAGCCGCGCUAACGACAAGAUCCAGUGGGCAUUCCUGCUCAAUGCUUUCAGCCUCAAUAUCGACCCCAUGGAUAUCCCUGUGCUCCAGAUAAUCCUCCCCAAUGCUACUUCUCUCCACAAAACCCCCAAAGUCGCACAUCACCUUCCUAGUACUCCGUCCACAAUGCACCACCAUAUGCUCCACACCCAUGAGACCCGCGACGGCCUACACCACUUCCACAAAUGUCUUACCCGCCCCCUCAAGAAUAUCAACCACCUACCCGCAAAAGGUUCCAACCUAGGCCAGAGUACAAGAUGAAAAGGCAAAAACAAAAGGAAAAGACUUUCACUCCCAUUGGAGAAUCAUAUGCCAGUUUGUUCCAAAGGUUGAGGCAAUUGGAUAUGUUGAAGCCGAUUCAGAUAAAAAUGCCAAACCCUCUUCCAAAAAAUUUUGAUUAUUCUCAAGGGUGCUCAUAUUGCUCUGAUGCCCCGAGUCACAGCAUAGAAAAGUGUUGGCAUCUGAAAAAGUAAUUCAGAAGCUUAUUAAUGCAGGUGACAUUGUCGUGCAAAAUCCAGAUGCAGUAGACACUAGCCAAAGUCCAUCGCCUAUUCAUAAUGAGACGCAUAUGGUGGGUAUGAUUUGUUUUGAAAAGGAACAUGAGAAUUCUUUCUGAGAUCCUCGGAGGUCUACGUGUUGCAAAGCUUUUAGCGCUAUCAGGGGUUGAUCUUAAGAAUGAGCCGGCAAAAGGGACCCAAAUGCAAUUUGCUAAAGUCAAUGUGAUGGAGAUUUGUAAAGGUCCUAGUAAUGUUGAUGAAGAACUCAGAGGCUAAGAUGUCUUGCUUGGUAAUGAGAAAGAAGCUUCAUCUCUUGGCUAGCCAGGAAGGAGUCUUCGUUGGUUUAUUUUGUUGUCAUUUCUGUUGUCCGGGUUAUUUUCAGGGUUGCAAUCCGGAUAUUGUCUUGUGACUCAAACUCUUCUAUUCUUUUAUUUUUCUUAGUUUGUUUAGUCGUAGUAGCUCGUUUAGUGUUGUCUAGUUUUGUUGCAGGGUUGUAAUCCCAGCUUAUUUUACUUGUUUUGUUGUCCAAACCCUUUCAACAUCUGUCUAAUGCAAUUUCUUGUUUUCUGUUAUUUCUAGUCAUUGUUUGUUUAGUUCUCUUUUCCUUUUAUAGUUUUUUUACUGCUGCCUCUAGUGACAUGACAUGCAUACAUAAUUCUAGGCCUGGUCUUAAAGUUAGUUUAAUCACGAAGCAAUGAAAUAAUUUUGAAGAUGAUAGGGACAUUUGAGGGAAAUAAGUGCAGAUUUGGACAUUUUGAGAUCAUUUGAAGCCCGAGCCAUGUGAAACUGGGGCAGAUAAUUUGGGAAGUUAAUAGGGUGGCAAGAAUUCGUUAAAAGAGAGUGCAUCCCGAACGAUUUGAAGUGAGCAGUUUUGAGUUCAAGUACACAUCAAUUUACAAGAUAAAGUCAAGGAAGUUUGCUCCAAAUAGACGGAGGGUACCCAUCAUGAAGAAAUAAUCACCCAAUGAGAGUUCUGUACUUGACAAGACACUAAAAAGGUAGAAAGCAUAUCAGUGAUAGCAAUGUCGAAGCUCUAAAAGAAAUAUUGUGUGUGCUCUCCCCUUUUCACUUCAAGUUGCAUGUGUUCUACUUGGCAUUUUCAGGGAUUGGGAGGUCCUCUUUCAGCUACCCGAACACUUAUACCAUUCAAUACCCUUUUGAGCAUGAUCCGAUUUCUUUGAACUCCCCUCUUUUGGAAUCAAGUUAGAGUCACACAGAGAAAAAGAACAAAAAACAAAAAAAGUUCAUGUCCCCAUAGGUUUAUUUUAGAAAGUUCAUUCCAAAAGAAAAUUUUCAAAAAAAGAAGAAGAUAAAAAUAGAGAUAAAAAGGAGAAAAAAAAGAAAAAAAAGAAAAAAAAAAGAAAAAGAAAAGAAAAUAAAAAUAAAAAUAGCAACAAAAAGUAGUCUUGUGAACUACGUUUGACCUGAUUCUUAUCACCACAAGAUACGUAGGCAGUCUUACGGUUCGGUCAUACCAAAUAAAAUAUUUCAUAAUCCCACAAAGUCGAGAGUGGGAAAUUCCAAAAAAAAGAGGGAAAAAUAGAUUCAAAUUCCACUGUUUUAGAAAUUGGGGCAAAGUUUUUAGAAUGGAUUCCAAAAGUUGUAAAUAAAUUAACCUCGUUGUCAUAGUUACUUUGAGCCUUUAUGAUAUCCUUUCUUUCUAAUCCUGUCCAAAAGCCACAUUACAGUCCAAAAAGGACCUCCCAGAUAAUCUUUGAGAGUGCUGAGUUUAGACAUGCCAAGGGGAUAUGUUGUUUUUACCAUGGUUAAUGCCUUGUCAUCUAUGGAAUCAAAGGAAAUAAAAAUAAAAGAACAAAAUGAGAGAGUCUUAUUGGUGAAAAUCUACACAGGCACCAUAAGACGACAGUGAGUUGAGAGAAAGAACAAAAUGAGAGAGGUUUGAUAGUGAAAACCCUUCGGGCACCACAACUCGAACAGGGAUCAUGAAUCAGAUAGAAUAAUCGGAGCAUUGAAGCCCAGUUUCACGGCAAAGAGGUAUAACAAGAGUUGAACAUUAGACUUGCUUGAUAGAUUAGGCCACAUGUGCAUGUCAUGGUCAUUAGAGUUGGUAUCCACAUCUGAUAAGUCUCUACUUUGUAGUUUUCUUGUUAGGAAUCAUCUCUUUCCAUUGUCCUUUACUCUGCUUCUUUUGUCUUGUUUACUUCCUCUUCCUGAGUCUGUUGGUCAAGAACAAGUGAGAAAUGACUUCAAAAUUUUCCACCAGCUUUCCCAUUGCACAAAAUAGGAUCUGGCUAGCACAUCAAAGUGGCAUAAGUCAGGAAAGAACAGCGUGCGCACUGAGCUGGUAACAAUCAACGUGCUUUGGGAUUCAUGUGAAAUAAAAAGGUUUGGUAUAUGUCAAUUCAUGAACAAUGCCACAGAUAGAGGAUGUUGGGUGAACGGAUCAAAGGUAUUUUCUGUGAUAAGGUUGACAGAGAAAGUGGUUAACCAAUGACAAGCAAGGUCUUCCAAGUGGAAAUCAAAGUUAUCAUGGCAAGUGAAGGAGCAAUAGACCUCAUGGCCAAGACCAGUGGGUUAAGUCAGGAAAGAACAGCAUGCGCACCGGGUGGGUGGCAAUUGACGUGCUUUGUGAUUCAUGUAAAGCACAAAGGUUCGGUAUAUGUCAAUGCAUGAGCACAAUGCAACAUAUGAAUGGUAUUGGGUUUGAACGGAUCAGAUGUAUUUUCCGUGAUAAAGGUGACAGAGAAAGUGGUCAGUCAAUAAACAGGCAAGGCUUUCGAGUUGAAAUCGAAGUUAUCAUGGCAAGUAAAGGAGCAAUAAACCUCAAGGCCAAGACCAAUGGGUUAAGUCAGGAAAGAAUAGCAUGCGCACUAAGUGGGAUGAAAUUGACGUGCUUUGGGAUUCAUGUAAAACACAGAGGUUCGGUAUAUGUCAAUGCAUGAGCACAAUGCAAUAGAUGAAUGGUAUUGGGUUUGAACGUAUCAGAGGUAUUUUCCGUGAUAAAUGUGACAGAUAAAGUGGUCAGUCAAUAAAUAGGCAAGGUCUUUCGAGUUGAAAUCGAAGUUAUCAUGGGAAGUGAAGGAGCAAUCGCCCUCAAAGUCAAGGCCGCAAAUUAACCACUAUGUUUAAACUCACAAGUUUUCUUUGAUUGAAACAGGGGUAGGAAAUUUUGUUUGUUCCGGAGAAACCCUCCGUGAGGAAAGCAGGUGCCAGACAGGCUCGACAGUAAGUUCUAGUACCAUCCUCGAUAAUGGGAUUUAGUAAUUUUUGAGACUCUCGCAAAUGACAAGGUUUGACGAGAGGUCUACUUUUGGGAAGUGUAAUUUGGCAUUUCAGUUUUCACUUUUGAAAUGAGGCUUGAUUUGAAAUUUUCAGGGUAAAGGAAUCUAAUUUAGAAUUUAUUUUGAUAACAAGAAUUGGUUAACACUCACAGAUGUUCCUAAUAUCAAACUGGGGCAGAAAAAUUUCUUUUAUUUGCUUGUUUUUGUUGAAAUCAGGCACCCACCUGGAGAAACAAGGGAGGACAGUUCAAUGAAAAUCAAUUUCAAAGGAGUUAGUUCGAGUUCGGCAAUCAGACACCCACCUGGAGAACAAAGUGAAAGUAGCAGUUUCAGAGGAGUCAAUUCGAGUGGGAAAUCAGGCACCCACCUGGAUAACAAAGGGAAGACAAUUCAAGUGUUGGAAAUCAUGCACCCACCUGGAGAACAAAGGGAAGACAAAUCAAGUGUUGGCAAUCAGGAGCCCACCUGGAGAACAAAGGAAAAGCAGUAAUGAUCAAAGGAAGACAACAAUCAGGAGUCCACCUAGAGAACAAAGGGAAACAGUUCAAGUCUCAAGGAAGAACAGUGCAAAUGUUGGUAAUCAGGCACCCACCUGGAGAACAAAGGGAAAGCAUCAAUGUUCAAAGGAAGACAACAAUCAGAAGCCCACCUAAAGAACAAAGGGAAAGCAACAAUGUUCAAAGGAAGACAGCAAUCAGGAGCCCACCUGGAGAAUAAAGGGAAAUAGUUCAAGUCUCAAGAAAAAACUGUACAGGUGUUGGAAAUUAGGAGAGCCCACCUGGAGAACAAAGGUAAAGCGGAAAUGCUCAAAGGAAGGCGGUUCAAGUUCAGCAAUCAGGAGCCCACCUGGAGAACAAAGGUAAAACGAGUCAAGUUUCGAGGAAAAAGCCGUACAAGGGUUGGUAAUCAGGCGCCCACCUGGAAAACAAAGGGAAAACAACAAUGUUCAAAGGAAGACGGUUCAAGUUCAACAAUCAGGCGCCCACCCGGAGAACAAGGGAAAACAGUUCAAGUUUUGAGGAAAAACAGUGCAAGUAUUGGCAAUCAGGCGCCCACCUGGAGAACAAGGAGAAGGCAGUCCAAGUUUCGAAGGAAGACAGUUCGAGUAUUGGCAAUCAGGCACCUACCUAAAGAAUAAGGAAAUUCACUUCAGAAUGAAAUUCAAGUCAGCAACAAAAGAAGCUCACGACAAGAAUGCGAGUCAACAGUCCGAGGUGAUCAACAGAUGUUAGUCACAAUCCAAAAUAAAAAAAGAGAAAGGCAAGAAGUGAAUCCAAAUGCAGAAGUUGAUGAAAGACGUGAGCUACUCAAGACAUGACUGAAGUCACAAGCAUGGUAUGUCCAAUUUUGAUCCGAAAAGCUGAAGAGGAAUGAACUAGUACCUGCAACUAGCAAGCGUCAAGGUUCAAAUCCAAAGUCUGCAUGAAGAACCAUUUAAGACUCAAGAUCAAGCUUCAGAAGACUUAUAGAUAGGAAUCUUGUAACUCGUAGUUGACAGGCUUAACUAGUCUUUUUCAUUUUUUGAUGUUUGAUGUAAUAACAGGAUCGCGGAGCGGAACCUCGACGGAACGGCACCUCGACCGGCUCUCCACCUCGGUAUACUCCAUCAUCUCACUCACUUCUGAACUACACAUGGCGUGAUUCCUUUAUAGCCAAAGAUAUGUAGGUAGCUCGGAUACCAGGGCUCGAUCACAUUCUCCUUUCUUUUAGUUUUUGGUCUCUCUAAAUAAGGGUCGGGUCAAAAAACCUAUCUAGUCAUUCUUUGUCUGAAAAUACUUCGUAUUUCUAGUUAAAGAGGGGUAGCUGUAGACAUGUGAUUUUUGAUCUUCCCCAAGAUUUUUUAUAUUUUAGCAUGUAAAUAUUUAAAAUGUUAUCUUAUGGAGGCAAAGAAGUGCUAUUAAAAAGUGUUCUUCAGAGUAUUCCUGUAUAUGUGUUAUCAGCAAUUACUCCUCCUAUUUGUGUUAUUAAAGAAUUGCACAGGAUCUUUGCCAAGUUCUUUUGGAGUACUAAAGAGUCAGGGAGAAGUAAACAUUGGUCUGAAUGGGUUAAAGUGUGCAUCCCUAAGCAGGAAGGGGGCCUAGGAUUUAGAUCCAUAUUUGAUGUGUCUAAGGCGUUGUAUGCCAAAUUAUGGUGGAGGUUUAGGACACAAAAUAAUUUGUGGUCUAACUUUCUAUGGAACAAAUAUUGCAAAAAGCAAAUUCCUUCUCUAGUUCUAUGGAAAGGGGGGUCACAAGUCUGGAAACAUAUGCUUGAGAAUCGAGUUCUUAUUGAGAAUCACUUGUGGUGGGAACCUAAAAAUGGAUCUUCUACGAUUUGGUAUGAUAAUUGGUCCAACCUGGGUCCAUUACAUUUGCAUCAAUCAGAUUUUUGCACUUGUUACCCUAUGAGGGACAUAAGUGAUUUUUUAACUGAAGAUGGAUGGAAUUUUUCAGUUAUUGAGGAGGUGGUUCCUGAUUAUGUAGUGCAACACAUUAGAAGCAACAUGAGGUAUACUCAACUACAAAGUAAAGCUGAUAAACCAUGGUGGACAAAGAUUAGUACCGGAGAGUUCAGUGUUAGUACUGCUUGGGAGUUGUUGAGGCAAAAGGAGGAUAUUAAUGAAGAUUUGAAGAAGUUAUGGGUAACAAGAUUGCCUUUUAAGUUCUCUUUCUUGGCUUGGAGAAUUUGGUUAGGUAAAGUUUCUGUGGCAACCCUAAUGCAUUCUUGGAAUUCUUCCAUCUCUCUUAAUUGCAAUUGUUGUACGAUUCUGGGGAUCGAGGCUAUUGAUCAUUUAUUUUUAAGGGGAGAUACAUCUGCUACAGUAUGGUCUCAUUUUUCUAGAGGUGCAGGAAUAUUGGGUCCUACCUUAAAUCUAAAACAGGUCAUUAGAAAGUGGUGGACUAUUGCAGGAAAUACAAGACUCAAGCUUGUGUUUCAGGUUGUUCCUAUAGUAAUUUUGUGGUUUCUGUGGAAGAGAAGGAACACGAUUUUACAUGGAGGUUCUUAUUCUAUUGGGAAGGUGGUCUAGAAUGUGAAUGAUAUCCUGUUGAAGGUAAUCAAAAUUAGAUUUAAGGAUAAAUACGAGGUUAAUAAUUGGUCUUUUAUCUUAAAAGAGUUGAAUAAUUACAGAGUCAGAUACAGUUUCAAGAUUGUAAGGUGGAUCCCCCUCCUAACAAUUGGCUAAAGUGUAAUACUGAUGGUGCUUCCCGUGGCAAUCCCGGACCAAGUUCAGCUGCAUUUUGUAUUAGGGAUCAUGAAGGAAAUCUGGUUGUGGCCAAGGGUUUCAGGCUUCCUGAUACUACUAAUUUGAUUGUAGAAGCUAGAGCAAUUAGAAAGAGUUUGCAGUAUUGUAAGGAGAAUGGAUUGGACCAGAUAAUUAUAGAGUCGGAUUCUUUGGCUAUGAUACAAUUUUUGGAAGGGAAUUGGGCAAUCCCAUGGAGUGUAGUGACAGAUAUUAACUAUAUUCAAAGUUUGAGGAGAAAUUUGUUAGUAAGAGUACAACAUUCCCUUCGGGAAGGAAAUACUCUUGCUGACUAUUUUGCUAACCUAGUUUUUGAUUUUGCAGGUGAGUUUCAGUUUAAUUCUUUUCUGGAGAUUCCUUCUGAAGGCAGGAAGAUUUUAAAUUUGGAUAAAAUAGGAACACCUCAGAUUAGAAGAAGCAUUACAGGAUAAAUUCAAUAUUGUUAAGUUACUGGUAGUGUGAUAUAUGCAACGGACUAAUCUUUAGGAACCUGUACAAGAAAUUUCUUUAAACUUUUCUAGUAUAUUCUAACGUCUGAAGAAAUUUCUUAUGACUUGAGCAUUUGCACCUGGUGAGAGCUUAGAGGUGUCCAAAAAUGCCUAGUCAGGACGCAGGAAGCACUAGUAAGUUUCUUUGUCUUGUCUUGGUUCUUAAAAGUAUGAGUCUGCAUUUACAAAAAAAAAAAAGAUAAUAUAGCCAAGUUUGAGAUCGAAUUCCCUAAUCUAGGCUUCGGAUGGUGGUAUUAAUCUCUCUUGGGAUUCAACCCAUUGAAGCCUAGAAAGAGAAAGAGAUUGAAGGCUUAUGGAUUGCUGGCUACCUAGCGGUCAUCGAUGAGAUUUCAUUGCGUUAGCUUCAAAUGUUGAUGAGCUACAAGUCUCAAUUCUGAUGUACACCAUGGCACUCAGAAUCAUAGUUGAAAGAGGAACAAAUAGAGGAGUAAAUGUUGGAGAACAGGGACUUACCUGAUAUUUUUGUAUUCGUUUUGUUGCUCUUCAAGGGUCUACGAAUUGGAUCUGAAAUGGGGAUAGUGGAUCGACGAAGAUUGAUUUCGAGUUUUCUCCCUUCUCCCUUCUUCCAGUUGUGUGGAAAAUGACUUAGAGAGGAAGAACGUUUGACCACAAGAAGCUCCAUUUUGAUAUGGAAGCUCUCUACUUGAAGAAGAUGUACAGUACAAUUUUCAAAUUUUUCUUUCUUGUUGUUUCUAUUUUGAUGUUUCUAUUUCCACUUGAUUUAUUUGGAUCAGGCCACUUUUGGGCCUGAUCAUGUACAUACCCUUUUUGGUUUUUAAUAAAAGGGCCUUCGGGUUCAUUUUAAAAAAAAAAAUUAAUUUAGGCUUAAUAUCGCUAUUUCAACUAAUUUUGACUCUUUUACUUUAUUUUUUACAAGAAAAUGAAAUUUACGAAAAAUGGUCUCAUUAAUGUUUUGCAGUCAUUUUUAAUCUUGAAAAAUACCAAAAAAACUAGUUUCAUUUUAGGUUUAUCUUUAAUAGUUUUUUAAUUAAUUAGGAGUAGUUUUACAUUUUUAUAAAUGCUUUAUACUAUUUUAAAUAAGAAAAACUUAGGCCCUUAGUUAAUGAAAUCCAGAUUUUCUAAGAGCUCAAUUGUUAGUUAAUUCAAGAUAAUGUUAGCUCAACUUUGGGCAAGAAAAUGACCCAAUUUCGGACUAGCCCUUGAGCCCAAAACCCCCAUUACCCCAAAACCUAGACUAAUGCCUAAAAUCUGAUAAAAGGAGCUGAAAAUACAAAAAUAAAGGGAUAGACCUAGACCUAUACAAUAUAGAUCCCUAGACUAGAGCUGACAGUCGCUGGAACACAGAGGAGAUCCUCCCCCCCCCCUAAUUUUUUUGAUCUUCUUCGAACCCCACCACCCCUGAAAUGAGCAACCCUAGAAUUUCUUUGCCUCCAUUCUCACACCUUCAGAGAACGACCGACCAUCCCCUGAACCAAGAGUAAACCAGCGACCACCUUCCUCAGCAAAACCCUUCAUACACCCUUAGUCAUCUGGUCAUAAUAGAUUAGUUAAAAAUGUGAAAAUUGGGCAUCAUUUUUUAUGCCUUGUAAGAGAAUUGAAUCUUAAAGUUCCAUUCGCAUCUGCUGCCUAAAGGAGGUUAUUAUUUCCUCAUGAGAAUCUGACUCGCCGAUCAACUGCUACAUUGCCUUUUAUUGUAACAACUUCUAGGUAUCGAUGUACAAAAACUCUCUGCCAUCCCAAAACCAUUUUCUGAGUUGAGUAGAUUUCGAGGUCGUCAGCGAGAUUUGAGUCUUUCCGGUGAAGUUCGGUCUGUUUGUCGCUAGUCGAGGCUCCGUUCGAGUCCUUGCCUAUUAGUCGAUCUUCAAGGCAGUCUUGUGAAGUUUUCCGUUCAUUAAUUUUGAAAGAAGCAGUCAAGCAAUUGUAAAGGUUCAUUCUCUUCUAAUCUUAAACAAAUUGCAUAAUUUUGACUAGCCUUAUCAGUGUUUCAUUGAGUUACCUGGUAAUUGUGUUAAUCUGAGGUGAUGGAAAUCAUGUUGGACCUGUUAAUUUAGAUAUUUUAUUGGCUUUAAGUUGUUGAUCAUGAAUGAAGACUCUAAUUAAAAUGUUUUCAAUGUCAACGGGCCAGAGUUCACGUUUGGUUUGCUGUUUUCAUAUUAUAUCUGCAUCUCCCAAUUUAUUUCUAUUUUGUUUCUUUUUACCAUAAUGAAUUUGUCAAUUGAACCUUGUUGCAUUUCUUGAUUAAUUGGUUUGGAAUUUGAUCAUCUUGGUGAGAUACGAACUCUAGACAUGUUAAAGUCUAGAUUUUAGUCUCUGCCUGGUACAUUCAACUCUUACUUGGUGCCUUCUGACAAAACUGACAAAAAGGAAUUUUCCCUCUCCAAGAGUUUCAUGAGGUUUCACUUAGUAAGAGGAGUGAAACUGCAAAAUUCGCUCAGCUAUGUAAUGAAUUUAUAUGCAGUUUCCGUGAAGAAGAUCUUAUAAGUGAUAGGGAGAUGGACCUAUUACUUGUUCCUUAUUCCUCGGACCCCAGUCUGAAAGUUAUUCAAUGGCCACCCUUUUUGCUUGCUAGCAAGAUCCCAAUUGCAUUGGACAUGGCUUCACAAUUUAUUUCUAGAGAUGUUGACCUUUGGAAGCACAUAUGUGCGGAUGAAUACAUGAAGUGUGC
rnacentral:lncRNA from 1 species